ACCUGACAGUGAAAGGGACCAUCAGGAGUCUGCCCCUCAAAUGCAGGCAGCAUACCAGAUACCCUCCAGUCUCUGGACUCCUUCCUGAAACUAUCAGGCCACAGUGUUCCAAAGACAGCUGAUCCGUCCAGUGGGAAACAAAGGAAAUUUCCAGACUUGACCCAAAGAGCUGGUGUUGCCUAGAACUCUUGCUGGGGAGAGAUUGGAAAAGCAACCAGAGACCCAGAUAAGGCAUAAGUCCGAGUACAGAGAAAGAGAUUACAUAAGGAGGUAAAGGGAAUAAGGAUGAAGAAAUGGAGCCUGGGCAUGAUCUUCUUUCUUCCCAUCCCAAAGAUGAUGACAAAACAGCGCCAGAGUUCUGAGGAGCUAAGCCAGUCCUGCAAAGAUUAUUUAUUAAAGGGUCAUCCUGGGAAGCACCAUUGACCAGAGUCUCUGGUAAGAGAUUCAUAAAACCUAGGGAGAAGAAGAAAGAAGAAAAAGAAGAAGAAGG